rnacentral:SRP_RNA from 1 species
GCCGGGCGUGGUGGCGGGCGCCUGUAAUCCCAGCUACUGGGGAGGCUGAGGCAGGAGAAUAGUUUGAACCCAGGAGGCAGAGGUUGCAGUGAGCCGAGAUAAUGCCAUUGCACACCAGCCUGGGUGACAGAGCGAGAUUCUGUCUCAA